rnacentral:rRNA from 1 species
AUGGCGCGGCUGCGGCCGCCCGGACACCUCCGUCUCGCCUUCUACGUCGCCGUCGCCGUCGGUGUCGGCCUCUGCGCCCCCGCCGCCGUCCUCGUCGCGGCGAUUGUCGGGGACAAGACGGAAGGUGAGGUGCUGGUGGCGUUCCGCGACAAGCUGCGGGCUUCGGACGGCUCGCCGCCGGGGCCGCUGCGGUCGUGGGGCACGCCGGGCCCGUGCCACGGCAACCACUCCUCCUGGUACGGCGUCUCCUGCCACGGCAACGGCAGCGUGCAGGGCCUGCAGCUGGAGCGCCUCGGCCUGGCCGGCGGCGCGCCGGACGUCGGCUCGCUGGCCGUGCUCCCGGGCCUCCGCGUCAUCAGCCUGUCCGACAACGCGCUCUCGGGCCCCUUCCCCAACGUGUCGACGCUGGGCGUGCUCAAGAUGCUCUACCUCUCCCGGAACCGCUUCUCCGGCGAGAUCCCGGCCGAUACGUUCCUGCCCAUGCGGGGGCUCCGGAAGCUGCACCUCCACAGGAACGACUUCUCCGGCCGCGUCCCCAGCUCCAUCACGUCGCCGCGGCUGCUGGAGCUGACCCUCGCCAACAACCGCUUCGAAGGCCCGCUCCCGGACUUCUCCCAGCCGGAGCUCAGGUUCGUCGACGUCUCCAACAACAACCUCUCCGGCCCCAUCCCCGCCGGCCUCGGCCGCUUCAACGCCACCAUGUUCCGAGGCAACAAAUUCCUGUGUGGCAAGCCAACGGACAUGGUCUGCGAAUCCGCGUCGUCGCCCGCCGGCGGCAUGCCCACCUUCAUGAGCAUUAUCAUUUUGCUCAUCAUCCUCGGCGUGCUGCUCGCCGCCGCGGGCAUUGCCAUGGGCGUCCUGGGCCGCCGGCGUCGUCGGCGGCGACGCGCGAAGCGGACUGACGGCUGCGUGACCCUCCCCAAUGGCGAGGUGACGCCGUCCAACCCGGUGCUGGACACCGCGCCGGCCGUCUCCAUCAGCCAGGCUACCGCCGUCGGCCCCGCGGCGACGUCGGGCGGCGGCCCGGCAAAGCGCGGGGGGCGGCGCGACGAGCACGGGCGGCUGGUGUUCAUCCAGGAGAGCCGCGUGAGGUUCGAGAUCGAGGACCUGCUCCGGGCGUCGGCGGAGGUGCUGGGCAGCGGCAACUUCGGGUCCUCGUACAAGGCGACGCUUCAGGAAGGCCCCGAGGUGGUGGUGAAGCGGUUCAAGGACAUGAACGGCGUCGGCCGCGAGGACUUCUCGGAGCACAUGCGCCGCCUCGGCCGCCUCUCCCACCCCAACCUCGUCCCCCUCGUCGCCUACCUCUACAAGAAAGAGGAGAAGCUCCUCAUCACCGAUUUCGUGAUUAAUGGCAGCCUCGCCCAGCUCCUCCACGGGAAUCGUGGAUCGAUGUUGGACUGGAGGAAGAGGCUUCGGAUCGUCAAGGGGGCGGCGCGUGGGCUGUCGCACCUGUACGAAGAGCUGCCGAUGCUGUCGGUGCCGCACGGGCACCUCAAGUCGUCCAACGUGCUGCUCGACGGCACGUUCCAGCCGGCGCUCUCCGACUACGCGCUGGUCCCGGUGCUGACGGCGACGCACGCGGCGCAGGUGAUGAUGGCGUACAAGGCGCCCGAGUGCGUGGGGUCGCACGGGAAGCCGUCCAGGAAGAGCGACGUGUGGAGCCUCGGGAUCCUCACCCUCGAGGUGCUCACCGGCAAGUUCCCGGCCUGCCGGCAGGGGCGGCAGGGCACCAACGACCUCGCCGGGUGGGUGAACUCCGUCAUCACGGAGGAGCGCACCGGCGAGGUGUUCGACAAGGACAUGUCCGGCGGCAAGGGCAACGAGGAGGAGAUGCUCAAGCUCCUCCAGGUGGCGCUCACCUGCUGCGAGGCCGACAUCGACAAGAGGUUGGACCUCAAGUCGGCCCUCGCGGGCAUCGAGGAGAUCAGGGAGCCGGAGCCUGAAUCCUCGUCGACGUUGACGGGCGAGGGAGAAUCGAAAUCAUAA